GCUACUGCAUGGCAUGCUGGGACUUGUAGUGCUCCCUGCCUCCACUGCUCAGCAGUCUAUACUGACACAAGAGCCAACAGAUAUGAGGCAACAGCAGAAUAGUGACUGCAGCUCUGGAGGUGACCGGAGUAUAAGACCUGAUAUAAAAGUGGAAUAGUGACUGCAGUUCUGAAGGUGACUGGAGUAUAAGACCUAAUGUAACAGAAGAAUAGUGCCUGCAGCUCUGGAGGUGACUGGAGUAUAAGACCUGAUGUAACAGAAGAAUAGUGACUGCAGCUCUGGAUGUGACUGGAGUAUAAGACCUGAUGUAACAGCAGAAUAGUGACUGCAGCUCUGGAGGUGACUGGAGUAUAAGACCUGAUGUAACAGAAGAAUAGUGACUGCAGCUCUGGAUGUG